rnacentral:rRNA from 1 species
UACAGAGGUCUCAAGCGUUGUUCGGAUUCAUUGGGCGUAAGGUGUGUAGGUGGCGCCGUUAGUCGGGUGUGAAAUUUCGGAGCUUAACUCCGAAACUGCAUUCGAUACUGCGGUGCUUGAGGACUGGAGAGGAGACUGGAAUUCACGGUGUAGCAGUGAAAUGCGUAGAGAUCGUGAGGAAGACCAGUGGCGAAGGCGGGUCUCUGGACAGUUCCUGACACUGAGGCACGAAGGCCAGGGGAGCAAACGGG